rnacentral:rRNA from 1 species
UACGUAGGGGGCAAGCGUUGUCCGGAAUCAUUGGGCGUAAAGAGCGUGUAGGCGGCUUGGCAAGUCUGGUGUGAAAUCUUGCGGCUCAACCGCAAGCGGUCACUGGAAACUGCCUCGCUAGAGUCCGGAAGAGGAGAGCGGAAUUCCUGGUGUAGCGGUGAAAUGCGCAGAUAUCGGGAGGAACACCAAUGGCGAAGGCAGCUCGCUGGGACGGUACUGACGCUGAGACGCGAAAGCGUGGGGAGCAAACAGG